GGGCUUGACAUCCACGAACCUGUGGAAACACGGGGGUGCUUGCAAGGGAGCGCGGAGACCGGUGGUGCAUGGCUGUCGUCAGCUCGUGUCGUGAGAUGUUGGGUUAAGUCCCGCAACGAGCGCAACCCCCACCCCUUGAUGCUACCGGGUAAACGCUGGGCACUCCAGGGGACCUGCCCCUGUCAACGGGGAGGAAGGCGGGGAUGACGUCUAGUCAUCAUGCCCCAAACGUCCUGGGCUACACACGUGCUACAAUGGCCGGUAUCAAAGGGGUGCCAAACCGCAAGGUAGAGCUAAACCCAAAAAGCCGGUCUAAGUUCAGAUUGGAGUCUGCAACUCGACUCCAUGAAGGAGGAAUCGCUAGUAAUCGCUUAUCAGCACGAGGCGGUGAAUACGUUCCCGGGUCUUUUACACACCGCCCGUCACACCACGAAAGCCAGCUGUACUCGAAGUCGCUGAG
rnacentral:rRNA from 1 species